UACGUGGGGAGCAAGCGUUGUUCGGAUUUACUGGGCGUAAAGAGCUCGUAGGCGGAUGUGUAAGUCGGAUGUGAAAUCCUUUGGCUCAACCAGAGAAUUGCACCCGAAACUGCAUGUCUUGAGUUCAACAGAGGGAAUCGGAAUCGAGGGUGUAGCGGUGAAAUGCGUAGAGAUCCUCGAGAACACCAGUGGCGAAGGCGGAUUCCUGGGUUGACACUGACGCUGAGGAGCGAAAGCUGGGGGAGCGAAC
rnacentral:rRNA from 1 species